rnacentral:rRNA from 1 species
UACGUAGGGUGCGAGCGUUAAUCGGAAUUACUGGGCGUAAAGCGUGCGUAGACGGUUAUUUAAGUCGGGUGUGAAAGCCCCGGGCUCAACCUGGGAAUUGCAUUCGAGACUGAAUAGCUAGGGUACGGUAGAGGGAAGCGGAAUUUCCUGUGUAGCGGUGAAAUGCGUAGAUAUAGGAAGGAACACCAGUGGCGAAGGCGACUACCUGGACUGAUACUGACACUGAGGUGCGAAAGCGUGGGGAGCAAACAGG